rnacentral:lncRNA from 1 species
GGGGCCGGGAGUUGCUGGUGUGCGGCGUGGCUCGGGCGCCUUCCCUCGCGGGGGCGGGGCGGCGGGGGCGGGGCGGUUCCUCGUGGGUGGGGCUGGGCGCCCCGGAGGGCGGUGGCCGCGGGGCGCGGGGCGCUGGGAUCCCGCCCGCUCCUCCGCCCGCCUUCUCUGUCCUGCACCCCUCCCGCCCCGGGGCUCCUGCCCGGACGGCGGCCGCCGCCGUCUCGUCUUCCCCGAGGGCUCCGCGUCCGUCUCCACAUCUCGGCCGGGAACCUGGGAACGCGGGAACUCGAACCCAGGAGGACGUGCCCGAGCCAGGACCCACCGCGGGGACCCUCUGGCCGGGAAGAGGACUCGGGCCCUGGCGGUCGAAGACGGACGCAGCUCCCGGAAAGGCGAGCCGGGUCUCCGGCUCCUGGAGCUUCCUAACAAAGGGCGGAGGCGAAGGAGGCACGAUGGGCAGUGGGCUCGGAAGCCGGAGUCGAAAGAAGAACGUUAUAAAAAUCCGUCACUUCCCAGUCCCCGCGCACUCCCAAAUCAUCAGAGUUUGGGUGGGGACAAAGUGAAUCCCCGCCUAGAGUCGGGUUUGGUAUCCAUGGCCUGGUUUUCGGCCCGGGCGUCUGGAGCCCUGGGGAACCUCCCCCAGCUCGUCCCAAGUCGCGGUUUCCGAGCUGGGGAGAGAAGGGCCCUGGGGGCGAGAGGGGUCGGGGCACAGCGCGCAGUUUCUCCUGCCGCCUUCGAGGACGGAGACUCGGGGUUCGCAGCGCCCUGGCUGCGCGAAUCUCCUCGCUCCCCCCCCCCCCCCGCCCCACGAAAGACGCUCAGAGUGCACACCCGCCUGCACCAAAGCCAGGGAUCUCAUUUCUCUCAAAAUAAAACUCAAUAAGCCAUAAAGGCUCCUGAUUCCAGUGGAAAAGGCGCCGCAGAUUUAUGGUCCCUCCAAAUCCCCACACUCUAAUUAUCCCUGUUUUUAGUUUACUUAUGGGUGGUGACCAAUAAAAUGAUUUUCCAUUUUGAAUUUUUUUUCA